rnacentral:lncRNA from 1 species
CUCAGACACCUGGAGUUGGUCCCAACGGGAUGGUGCUUGAAGCUUGGAUAAACGGGAGCCUAGCAUCAUAACGAUGGAGAUGCUGGAACUGCCCCAGCAGAGUCUUGAGGAACAGGGUCAAAAUGAUCAGAGAGGGGUUCAGGCUGCAAUGUCAGUCCGCAUCAGUGGACUGUCUCCCAGAGGGCUCGCUUCACGAGUUUGCAGGUGUGCAGAGGCUUGGUGACCAAGAGAUUUGUCCCCCAAGACUGUCUCACACUGUGACCAUUGGGUCUGCAACGCUGGCUGGUGACCAUUUCCCGUUUCUGGACUUACAGCUGAGAUCGACACACUUAGCUGGUAGAAUCCUCAUAUUUGUUCACGACCUAUGGAGUGGGAGCACUAUGGCGGAAAAGGUGACGAACUGAAGCUCAGCGAGACUAACUAACUCAUCCAAUUUGAUGUGGCCCAGGAGAGGAGGAACACUGCAGCGAAGCAAAACAGAAAAGAAGUAACAAAUAGGCCAGCAGGCACAUGCGCUGGGGGUCCUCUUUGUCUUUUUACACCCAGCGUCUAGAACAAUCGUGGCCCAUUACACUGCAGAUGCUCAAUUAACACCUGCUACAUUCCUGAAACUCGAGCCCCAGAAUCCUGAGACUGGAAUAUAAAACACAAGAUAUUACAUAAAAGAGGCCACCACAAGAUUAUUUUGAUUACUCCUUUACUUGGAGAGUUUUCUUUAAAAUCAACGUCAGGUGUUUGUUGCCACGGCACUGCCCACCACUGCUCUGCGUACCCGUCAUGUCUGGUACAGCUACUGCACGGGAAGAAAGACGGAAGUUCUCCACUCCCCGUCAGACCACCUCAAGGCUUGCAACAUCUCCCACAAACUUGGUGCGCACCCGGACAAGUUCCUCUCCGUUCACGUUAACCCGCUGUGGCCAUCCACAUUUUGAAAGCAUUCACACAGAGAGCGAGCGUUCACAAUUUUCAGCUUCUCCAGCACCAAGUGCUGCAUUGUGUGCAGGACAGCCAGCUUGGGAUGAG